CGAGUUCUCCCUCCCUGUCCCGACGGGCCGGCGGGCCUGUAUACCUCCAGUGUUAAGUCUGGUGCCUCCUGCCGGUAGUCACUGGGCUAUGGAACAGGAAGUCCCGCCCCCUCCCCAAGUGAGGAAAACAGAAAAAUCGGAGAGGUCGGCUGCAAACCAGGGAAGACAGGGGUCAAUCAGGGUGGACGACUAGCAGCGUCCGACCCGGAGGGCAAGGCGGGGUUUGCGGGGCUCCCCAAGUGGAUUCCUGCCGGACGGCCCUCCGUCCCCCCGACCCCGUGCCCACCAGUCCACCCCUGCUCGCCCGCCUUCGCGGAUCCCGGGGGAGGCUGCCGCCCUGGGCCCGAGCGGGCCGAGCGGAGCCUGGCGCUGGUCUUGGCUGGGACAGGGUCUCUGCCGCGCCGGGCGCGUGCGCGGCUCCAGGGACUCAGGAAGACCUGACGAGCUCCUCAAAAAAAGGGAUCCUCGGAGCCACGGGCCGAAUUCCGAUACUAACAGGGAGGCAGAGAUGCCAAAGGUGGUUGUUGGCCGGUUUGGCAAGAGAAACCGAAGACCCCUCGGCCGUUGAAGUCGUCCCCGCCGAACCGUUUUUAUAAACGUGAAGGGCACAGCGCAAGAAGGGUUAGGAAGACAGGCACGAUGGAGCCUAGUACCCACCACCCCCUCCUGCCCCUUUCCGAGGGACUUCCGGCGACCUGAAGCUUACAGCCUUUUCUCAGGAGACUCAGAAGUCCGUCUGGAGAGAGGAGGACCGCAGCUUGAAAAGUCCGCAGAGGAGCGGGCCGCUGUGCCGCCCCGCUUGGGAUCAAUGUAAAAAGACAGAGCUUGCUAAGGAGUUUUGACUUUAUCUCAAAGAUAUAGGGAGGGGAAUUUCCUAAAUAAUCAGCUUUGUAUAAUUUUUAAGUAAGUAGAGUUUUUCCAGGAUAGUAUUACAAGGAUAGGCUUUCUCAACCUGGUGGAUCAGAUGGUAAAGAAUCUGCUUGCAGAAUGGGAGAUCCAGGUUUGAUCCCUGGGUGGGGAAGAUCCCCUGGAGAAGGGAAUGGCAGCCCACUCCAGUAUUCUUGCCUGGAGAAGCCCAUGGACAGAGGAGCCUGGCAGGCUACAGCCCAAAGAGGGAAACACAACUGAGGGACUAACAUUCUAACUUCUUAACUUCUCAAUCAACUCUGAAGGCCAGCUCCAGAUCAGUGAUUCUGAACUAGAACAUUCAGUUGAUAAUCGUUUUUAAAUUCUGUCUUAUAUUUUUCUAGACAUUAUCUGGUCAAAUUGUUGUAAUCUACCUGAAGCCUCAUAUGUCUGUCACCCACAACAGGAAAUUGCAGCUUAGAAGAGUCAACUAUUCCCAAGAUCACACAGCUAGGAAAGGUGGACCUCGCUUGUAAACUCGACAGUCAGCCUUUUCCAGUCCACCAUCCAUCUUUUGGAUGACAAGUUAAAGGAUCAACCCUUCCCAGGAUUGAACUGGGGUCUCCUGCAUUGCAGGCAGAUUCUUUACCAUCUGAGCCACCAGGGAAGCCCAGACACACACGAAACCUGUUGAUGCUAUGCAUGACUCUCUGAGACUCGGUCCUCUUGUCUUCAGCCUUUUUUUUCCCCACUGAGAACUUGAGCUUGGAUCAUUUUCAUCAGUCUGUCCUCUAUUCACUGAUUCUUCUGUCAUCUCCUGUCAUCUGUUAGAAGCAGCUAGUGAUUUUGUUUCCUUAAUUCAGAUAUUGUAUCUUCUAGUUCUGAAAUUUCUAGUUCUGUCUAUUCUACUUCUAAAAAUAAAAAUUUCUAUUUCUCUA